GACGAACGCUGGCGGCGUGCUUAACACAUGCAAGUCGAGCGGAAAGGCCUCUUCGGGGGUACUCGAGCGGCGAACGGGUGAGUGACACGUGAGUAAUCUGCCCUGGACUCUGGGAUAGCCACCGGAAACGGUGGCUAAUACCGGAUACGACGCACUCUCGCAUGGGAUGUGCGUGGAAAGUCUUCUCGGUGAAGGAUGUGCUCGCGGCCUAUCAGCUUGUUGGUGAGGUAACGGCUCACCAAGGCUUCGACGGGUAGCCGGCCUGAGAGGGUGACCGGCCACACUGGGACUGAGACACGGCCCAGACUCCUACGGGAGGCAGCAGUGGGGAAUAUUGGACAAUGGGCGAAAGCCUGAUCCAGCAACGCCGCGUGAGGGAUGACGGCCUUCGGGUUGUAAACCUCUUUCAGUACCGACGAAGCGCCAACAACGGUGGUGACGGUAGGUACAGAAGAAGGACCGGCCAACUACGUGCCAGCCGCCGCAGUAAGAC
rnacentral:rRNA from 1 species